AGACUAAAACUCGUCAUUAAUACACUAUACAUAGACUGUGUUUUUCCAAUGGGUAAUUUUUAUAGAACCCCCUUGAUCUAGUGUUAUACAGUUCUGUUUGUCUUUAGUAAGGUUCUAAGGGAACUCUAGUAGAAGAAAGUUGUCAUAGAAUAAUAAGGAUAAGAAGAAUGGCCACCCCAUUAUCAACCGUUACCAACAAUACCUACAACAUGUAUAAUAUACAUGGUGAUUGUCAAGCUGUACAGAUUGGAACAUCAAACACAAUAAAUGAAACUAGUAACCAGACCGACAGUGAGGAUUGCACAUCCGAUAUGGAAGAUGUGAGAUUCCAGAUCAAUCGGAUAACAGAAGAGAUGGCUGAAAAAUUUGAAAGAAAAGAUGAAGAAAUAGCUGAAUUAAAAGACAGGGUGGCUGACCUGGAAGCAUUUAAGAAGAAAGUAGAACAAUCGGAAGUCAAGACAAACACCAACACUAAUACUAGACGUUAUGUCAGGGAUACGAGUAAUGAUAUUACUCUAAAGUUGGUAUAUGGCCCAUGUAGAUAUAAAGAUAUGGGUUCUAUAACUGUCAGUAAGAAAGUCAGUGCUAAUGAUUUAAUGAAGUUGAUAGAAGAGAAGAAGAAUAAGAAGAUCAGAUGGAUUGGUAUAAUAGGAUAUAGAGAUGGUAGUUUGGGAGAGAUCUACGACAGUAAAAACAACAAGAACGACUAUAGCCUGGAACAACUUGGUGUUGUAGACCAGGACCAGGUUUGGUACUGGUGAUAGUAAAAUACAGUGAUUAUAUUGAUAUGAUGUAUUGAUGGGCUCCUUUAUAUUAAACAAUGAGGUGUUUGGGGGGGGGGGGGGGUAGAUAUUACUUAUAGUAAAAUAUAAUGGUCGAACCAGAACGAGGUUAGGUAUUAUUGUCUCUUGAUUAGGUUGUGAGGGUGGAAUAAAGUAAAAUGUUUGAGUGGUGUUGUGGGUGAUGUGGUGUGGUGGUGUGGGUGCUAAGUUAGUGAAGAGAUUUAUCAACCACACCAGCACCCUAACCAAGUAUCUUAUACCCCCUUCGCCCCCCCCCCCCCCCCCAACCCCCAUGAUUGAUAUAUUGAAUCUUACUCUAAGUAAUAUCUUACCUGUCCCACCUGUUCCACCUGAUUGAUAUAUUGAAUCUUACUCUAAGUAAUAUCUUACCUGUCUCACCUGUCCCACCUGAUUGAUAUAUUGAAUCUUACUCUAAGUAAUAUCUAACAUCCUAAUAUAAAACUAGCUUACUACUGUAAAUAAAGCUGUAAUUCAAUAGUCACGAUUAUCAGGUGAUAUGUAGUCGUGAUCAUGUGAUAACUAACUGACAUGUAUAUAAUAUAUAAUUAUAUUAGUGAAACAAUGUUUUAUAUUUUGUAUUCUAAUUUUGUUUCAAUAAAAUAUUUUAUAACUAAA